rnacentral:rRNA from 1 species
GACGAACGCUGGCGGCGUGCUUAACACAUGCAAGUCGAACGGAAAGGCCCUGCUUUUGUGGGGUGCUCGAGUGGCGAACGGGUGAGUAACACGUGAGUAACCUGCCCUUGACUUUGGGAUAACUUCAGGAAACUGGGGCUAAUACCGGAUAGGAGCUCCUGCUGCAUGGUGGGGGUUGGAAAGUUUCGGCGGUUGGGGAUGGACUCGCGGCUUAUCAGCUUGUUGGUGGGGUAGUGGCUUACCAAGGCUUUGACGGGUAGCCGGCCUGAGAGGGUGACCGGCCACAUUGGGACUGAGAGACGGCCCAGACUCCUACGGGAGGCAGCAGGGGGGAAUAUUGCACAAUGGGCGGAAGCCUGAUGCAGCAACGCCGCGUGCGGGAUGACGGCCUUUGGGUUGUAAACCGCUUUCGCCUGUGACGAAGCGUGAGUGACGGUAAUGGGUAAAGAAGCACCGGCUAACUACGUG